GGGGGGGGAACCACCCUUUUUCACCCUAACCCUUUUUAACUAAAACCUUAGGACCCAAAACCCAAAAUCUUUCCUAGGCCAACUUCGAUGUUCUGAAUCCGUUUUUGGCGUCCAUUUCCUGGAAUUCUAUCGUUUGGGCAUAGUUUGAUAAAUUGGACAUUUUUGUGCUUAGGUGAAGUUGCUAGUGGGGAUUUCCUUAAUCCUUUUCCGCACAACUCUGCUACUACAGAGUAUGUGUGAGUGGCCUCUUUCUAAAAUUUGCAUAAUUUUAUAGUUUACUUGCAUAAAUGAAAUGCAUGGCUUACGAGUUUAUGAACUGAUUUUAUGUUAAGCAUGUUUAUUGAAAUGUUGAUUUUUGUCUCGUUAUUUUGUAAGGAAUUAAUUGUUGGCCUAUAUUGAGCUAUAUUUUAAUAUAUCGUAUUUUCUAUAAAAACCAUGAACUGGUAGACUAUCUGAUGGAUGACGAUAGGAUGCUAGAACAUGUUUUCAAAACCCAUUUUUAUAGUAUAGACGAUGGAUGGUUUUAUACUAUGAAGUCGUUAUAUUUGAGAGGCGUAAUUAUUUGUGCCUACCUAGUGGACACUAUGCCACCUGGGGAGAGGAUCUGGUGUUGGCAGUUAGGCCGGGAGAAAUAAUCCCUAACUACGGGCUGAGGGACACGGAGCAGGCAUUGGGCCGGGAGUUGGAAAUCUUUGGCUACGAGCAGAGACCACGGUGCUGGCAUAGGGCCAGGAGGUAUAUUUAUUCAGUGAUCUUACUGGCAGCACACCGUGCUUACGAGACGAUCUGUGAGACGAUUGAUGUUUUGAUUUCCACGAUGUUUUUCCGUGCUAUGUCUUUUGAGAUGUUUUUGGCAUGCUAGGGUUUUCAGUAAAAGUUUUGGGAGAGACAGGUAUAACAUGGCUCACUGACCUUUUCAAUAGGAUUUUGAAAACGAAGAAGAUGCCAAAUGAGUGGCGAACGAGCACUUUGGUGCCUAUCUACAAGAAUAAGGGUGACGUACAAAAUUGCAUGAACUAUAGGGGUAUUAAGCUAAUGAGUCAUACAAUGAAGCUCUGGGAGAGAGUCAUUGAGCAUAGAUUGAGGCAAGAGACACGGGUUUCGGACAACCAAUUCGGGUUCAUGCCAGGGCGCUCAACCAUGGAGGCAAUCUAUCUCUUACGAAAAUUGAUGGAAAGAUAUAGAGAUGGGAAAAAGGAUUUACACAUGGUCUUUAUAGAUUUGGAAAAAGCGUAUGAUAGGGUCCCAAGAGACAUUCUUUGGAGGAUUUUAGAAAAGAAAGGAGUACGAGUAGCAUAUAUCCAAGCUAUAAAGGAUAUGUAUGAAGGAGCAAAGACUGCCGUAAGAACUCAUGAAGGACAAACCGAAAGCUUUCCCAUAACUGUAGGAUUACAUCAAGGCUCAUCCUUAAGUCCUUACCUUUUUGCGUUGGUAAUGGAUGAGUUAACAGGACAUAUUCAAGAUGAUAUUCCUUGGUGUAUGCUUUUCGCAGACGAUAUAGUGUUGAUAGAUGAAACUCAGGAAGGGGUAAAUGCAAAGCUUAACCUUUGGAGAGAAGUGUUGGAAUCUAAAGGUCUUCGCCUAAGCCGAUCAAAGACAGAAUAUAUGGAGUGCAAGUUCAGUGCAAAUGGAGGCCAAAACGAGUUAGGGGUGAGGAUCGGAGAUCAAGAAAUACCAAAGAGCGACCGUUUUCGUUACCUAGGAUCUAUCUUGCAAAAGAACGGAGAAUUAGAUGGAGAUCUCAACCAUAGAAUACAAGCUGGAUGGAUGAAGUGGAAGAGUGCAUCCGGCGUGUUGUGUGAUCGCCGUAUGCCACUGAAGCUCAAGGGAAAAUUUUAUAGGACGGCAAUAAGGCCAACGAUGCUGUAUGGCACAGAAUGUUGGGCGGUGAAGCAUCAACACAUACACAAAAUGGGUGUAGCGGAGAUGAGGAUGCUUCGUUGGAUGUGUGGGCACACGAGAAAGGAUAAGAUUAAGAAUAAGGAUAUCCGGGGUAAAGUAGGAGUAGCCGAAAUUGAAGGCAAGAUGAGAGAAAAUCGGUUACGGUGGUUUGGACAUGUGCAACGAAGGCCUACUGACGCUCCGAUUAGAAGAUGCGACUAUGAGACAGAGGUUCAGGGCCGAAGGGGUAGAGGAAGACCUAUGAAAACUUUGGAAUAGACUCUAAGAAAAGACUUAGAGUACUUGGAUCUAACGAAGGACAUGACACAGGAUCGAACACAAUGGCGUUCUAAGAUUCAUAUAGCCGAUCCCACUCAGUGACUUGGAUUUUCCAAGUCUCCAAUCGAGAAGUUUUCCUCACUCGGGAAAUUAAGGGAACACUACCCCAACCUACAUGCUCCACUCAGAAAGCUUCAACAUACAAGCUUCAACAAAAGAAAAUUCAAAGAACUUAGCGAAGAAGGUUUUGGUGUAUUUAACACAAUACGUUGAAAUGAAGGAAAACUUAUUUAUUGAUAUCCCCGAUAAGCUACAAAUGUGUACAUAUACAUGAGUCAAAAUAAACAAACAAGAGGGAGCCUUCACAAGGGUUGCUUAGGAGAAGUCUCAGCAGUCGGUAGAGCCCCAGAAAAGAGAAGGCACCGGAGGGGGAUCAUUAGGAACCUCAGUACUGGACAGAACCCUAGAAGGAGGAGGAGGCAUCAGAGGUUGAUUAUUUGGAGCUUCAUUACGCGGUACAGCCCCAGAAGACGAAGGCAAUAAAUGCCUUUGGAACAAACCCACAAAUCUCUGAUGAUCAAGUAAAACCUGACCAUCAGUUUCCUUCAUCUGGUCAAGCUUCCUCUUCAUGUUUGUAGCAUAGUCAUGUGCGAGCCGGUGCAACUGUUUAUUCUCAUGCUUGAGCCCUCUAAUCUCCUGUUUGAGACUCAUCACCUCAGCCGCCAAUGAUUCAACUUGGCGGGUUCGAGCAAAUAGGCGUUGGGCCAUAUUAGACACAGAACCUGCACACUGAACACUGAGAGCCAGCGAAUCCUUAACAGCUAACUCAUCAGACCGUUUGGAAAGUAGUCUGUUAUCUUUGGGAGUGAGAAGGUUCCUGGCCACCACCGCAGCAGUCAUAUCAUUCUUCAUCACGGAAUCCCCAACGGUAAGAGGACCAGUAGGGGAGACGAAGGGAUGGGCGCCAUAUGUUGUCUGGAGAAGGCGGGGCUGCCUCUUCAACAAGGUUCAAGUCAAAACGACGGUCGGAGGGGACCAGACAUUUUCAAAGGUGUUGAAGAGAGAAGAGGUUGGACAAAUCAAGAUCUUAGAAGUGCAAGAAUGGAGCUUCUACUGGUGGAGAUUCAAGUGUGCUUUGGAACUUAAUGUCAGCCCCUAUAAAAAUCUGCACUCGACGGAUCUUCAGAAAUCGAAGAGGCGUUUGCUUUCUCAAAAGCUGGGCUGCUUAGAGACCACGAGGGUUGAUCUCAGAAAUCGAAGAGGCGUUUGCUUUCUCAAAAGUUAGGCUGCUCAAAGACCACGAAGGCCGAUCUCAGAAAUCGAAGAGGCGCUCGCUUUCUCAAAAGCUGGGCUCCUCAGAGACCACGAGGGCCGAUCUCAGAAAUCGAAGAGGCACCUACUUUUCCAGCCUUGUCAGCACCUGUCACACGCACACUCAGCUUUGCGGAAAUUAUGGGCAUUCUGUCGAAGACUUCUGAGGAAGUAGAAAAACACAUGAAUCUUACUGUUCAAUCACCCACUUCCCACACGCAACACUAGCUCAUGGGUACCACAGAUAACUUUGCCAAAGUUCUCUGCCAAAAUUGAGCACGUAAAGCUUGCAGCUCCCACUACAUCGCUCUGACCAAGAAAGGUAAAAGAAUAGCAAAGAAACAGCACUAACAAAGUUUAGACCCAUAAAUUUUGAAGGUCUAGCUACCAUAAUAUUACCCACAAGGGUAAAGGAACAGUACCACUGCUGGAUAAUUGGAAAGUCCCUGUGUGUCAACCUCUGUGCUUCGUGGCAAGGUAGACUAGUAAACAUGCCCAACCUUUACUCACACUCGAGAAAACACUACCAAUAAGAUUGCUUGCUCCAAAAUCGAAGAGGCACCGUCCUCCGAAUCUCGAGAGCCAGACUCCCAACAUGACUACUUUCUCAAAAAUCGAAGAGAGGGUAAAGGAACAGUACCAUUGCUGGAUAAUUGGAAAAAUCCCUGUGUGUCAACCUCUGUGCUUCGUGGCAAGGUAGACUAGCAAAAACAUGCCCAACCUUUACUCACAUUCGAGAAAACACUCCCAACAAGAUUGCUUGCUCCAAAAUCGAAGAGGCACCGCCCUCCGAAUCUCGAGAGCCGAGACUCCCAACAUGAUUACUUUCUCAAAAAUCGAAGUGACACUGCUCCCCGAAUCUCGAGAGCCAGACCCCCAUCAUGAUUGCUUUCUUAAAAAUCGAAGAUGCAUCGUUCUCCGAAUCAAUCGAAGAGACGCUCGCUUUCUCAAAAGCUGGGCUGCUCAGAGACCACGAGGGCCGAUCUCAGAAAUCGAAGAGGCACCUACUUUUCUAGCCUUGUCAGCACCUGUCACACGCACACUCAGCUUUGCGGAAAUUAUGGGCAUUCUGUCGAAGACUUCUCGAGAGCACAAGACCACUUUUUCAAAGUGCUCUGACAGAGUUAAAACAUGUGAAGCUGGCAGCUCCCACUACCGUGCUAUGACCAAGCAGGGUAAAGGAAUAGCAUUACUACUUGUUGUUAGGGAGACUCCUAUAUAUGUCGACCUCCAUCCCCAACGGACAGGCAGACCUGCAAAAAUGUUCAACCCUUCCUCAUAUUUGAGAGGGCACUCCCAACGAAGCCUUUCGAAAUAUUCAGCUUUUUUUCCCCCCGAUAAUACCUUUGCAAACAAGCUAUACUAGAGCAAGAAUAUCUCAUAUCAUCAGGGUUAAAAGCAAGAGUAUCCCAUAUCAUGCUUUUUCCCUGUCUUUUCCUUUGGCCUUGUUGUUACCUGCAAGACAAGGAGGAAAGAGAGCAAUCAGUCAGCACUUGGAAUCAAGCUUCCAGCCAGGAACUGACUGUCUGGAACCCCUUACCUGAUUACUUACCUGGCAUUGCUCUCGAGUACUCAUCUUCAACAUCUUAUGUUUCCAGGGAAGAUACCGCAUCUGCUUGAGGAACAGAUAGGGCAAGUGCGAAGGAUACAAGGAAGCAUGUGGAGACAAGCGUAACAGCACACGUGCCGAUACAUCCAUUACUCUGUCAAAAGCAAAAGUAUCCCAUAUCAGCAGGGUCGAACGUACUCUAGAUUUGAUGAUAGACUUGUUUUGACCCUCAAAUUCUUCAGUCGGCUCUGGAGGAAACCAGAAAACCCUCCAGCUCAGUUCAAGAAUAAGCCUUGUGGAAAGUUACUUCUUCAAAAAGCAAAAGUAUCCCAUAUCAUCUCUUCUCAUCUUUCUUCUCUUUAUCCUUCAUGCUGCUGCAAGAUGGGGAGAAGGUGAACAAUCAGCCGGAGCUCUGAUUGCUUACCUUGUCUGUCACCUCUUUCAGCAGAUCCCCUAGCUCGGCGACUUGGGAGACUCCUACUACAUGGUUUGUAUCGCGCUUGACCAAGCCUGAAACUACAAGUAAGCUUCAAGUGAAAUUGAUACAUUACCUUGUGCAUCUCCACCAGUUAAAGAUACCACCCCUGGAUGGAGGAAGAGUACUUCCAGAGAAGAUGCCUACAUCUACCUAUGAGACAGAUAAGGCAAGUCAAGACGAUACCACACUCCGAUACUUAGAAGUUUCGUGAUUACGAGAUCAUUCUCUCACAAUAUUUCCUAAUGUCAUUUGUACUAAAUCAUUCACUUGUACUCACUAAAUGAGAGCUUGAACCUAUGUACUUGUGUAAACCCUUCACAAUUAAUGAGAACUCUUCUAUUCCGUGGACGUAGCCAAUCUGGGUGAACCACGUACAUCUUGUGUUUGCUUUCCUAUCUCUAUUCCAUUUAUAUACUUAUCCACACUAAUGACCGGAGCAAUCUAGCGAAGAUCACAAAAAGCGACCGUUUUUGCUGCCUAGGAUCUAUCUUGCAAGAGAACGGAGAAUUAGAUGGAGAUCUCAACCAUAGAAUACGACCUGGACGGAUGAAGUGUAAGAGUGCAUCCGGCGUGUUAUGUGACCGUCGUAGGCCACUGAAGCUCAAGGGAAAAUUUUUAUAGGACGACAAUAAGGCCAACGAUGUUGUAUGGCACAGAAUGUUGGACGGUGAAGCAUCAACACGUACACAAAAUGGGUGUAGCGGAGAUGAGGAUGCUUCGUGGGAUGUGUGGGCACACGAGAAAGGAUAAGAUUGGGCAUGAGGAUAUCCGAGGUAAAGUAGGAGUAGCCGAAAUUGAAGGAAAGAUGAGAGAAAAUCGGUUCCGGUGAUUUGGACAUGGGCAAAGAAGGCCGACUGACGCUCCGGUUCGAAGAUGUGACUACGGGACAGAGGUUCAGGGCCGAAGGGGUAGAGGAAGACCUAGGAAAACUUUAGAAGAGACUCUAAGAAAAGACUUAGAGUACUUGGAUCGAACGGAGGACAUGACACAAAACCGAGCGCAAUGGCGUUCUAGGAUUCAUAUAGCCGACCCCACUUAGUGGGAAAAGGCUUUGUUGUUGUUGUUGUUGUAUAUAUGAAUUUGGUCCACUCACCUUUGUUUUGCGCCCCCAUUCAGGUUUUGGUCUUAGAAACGAGGACUACGACACAACAUACGAGGCAUUCCCCUCCCAGUAGCAGUCUAUCAUUCACUUAUGUGAUAUCUUGUAAUGAUCUUUCCUUUUGUGAUCUUGAAUUAGAACGUAUUCUGUGCACUCUAGACAUUUCCUUAAACUUUGUUUAUUACCUUUAGAUUCUAAUGAUUAUUCAUGUUCAUUUUCUCCUAAUCAUUACUCUUGUAUUCAAUAAAUGACUUUCGUCACCUUCGGUGUCGGCCAACAUGUGCCUAUCCGGAUAUUCAGAGAAUAUCGGGGUCGGGACGUGUCAGUUGAGCACCCCGUAACAUAUCAGGCUAGUGACUACAUACAUGGCAGAGUGGUUCUAAUGAACUGUCUGCGGUUUUAGCUUAUACACUGCCAAGGACAGGAACCAUUUGUGACCAAUGAUCUUAUAGUUUCUAUGGGAAGGUGUUCUGUUUAAGGUUUUCAACUCUCAUUAGAUGAAAAAACAACAGUUUCUGGCUUCUUGUGUUAUUUUUUCUUAUCCCCGGAAAG
rnacentral:lncRNA from 1 species